CAUACAAAAAUUAAACUUGAUAUGAAUAUAGUAUCAAAUCAAAAAGUUAGGUUAAGUUAGAUUAAGAUUCUUGUUUGAUUUUUGAUCAAAUAGAGAAAAUAUAUAAAAUAACGCAGACACGAAAAUUAAACCAAUUACGAAUAUAACUUCUUCAACAAUUAAUUAGAAAAGAAAAUCUUGCUCGUCAGUCUGACAUCUAUUCUCGACACACGUACACAGAGCCAUUUCAAAUAGAAGAUAAAAACGUAUUUGCUUAGUUGUUAACAAGUGGAAUCUCGUUAUCGUGCAGAUGUUCCAGAAUAAUUUUCGCCAAUAAAAAAGAGAGAAGGUGGUGAUUCGCGUAAUCGUUGACCUCGAUCGAUUUCGGAGCGGGUUCGAGGAGAUCAAUAAUGAUAAGUUAACGGUGUUAUCCGAAGAUCCUUAUCUCUCAGGAAUCUCGCGAUCGACUGGCAGCGAGCCGAUGAACGAUAAGGACGUUGCUAAUUGCCCGUCGUUGCUUUUAAUUGCUCGUGGACACGUUAUAUUAACUGCCAAGCGUAACGGUAACGAUUACGGUAGCCAGAGAUCGAAAUGUUCCAAUUAUUCAUCAAUAAUUUUUCUUUUUCAACUUAUUUAUCACUAGAUAGUAACUUGAUGAUUAAUGAAAAUUUUAUUAAAUUGUGCAAUAAUAACAAAUAUCUCUCUCUUCUUGUUGUAAUUAUGGAAAAGUUAGAUUAGAUUAUAUCGUUUUGAGGUUAUAUAUUACGCAGUGUUGGACCCGUUGAAAAAGUAACUAGUUAACAAUUUCGAAUAAACUUUAAAUAAUUACUUAAAUAAUUUUACUUAAAAUGGCUCAAUAACGUUUAUUCGUAGCAAUUAUUCGAUGAAUAAUAAAUUAUUAAACUAAUUUUAUUAAAAUUUUGCCCAUCUUUGUUCGUAUGAUACGUUAGAAACAGACGUUCGUAUAAUACGGAGAAAUAAUUUUCGAGAGGUUAAAAUAAUCAUAGAGAUCAACAAAUUUCAAUUGUUUAUAACUUAAUAAUUUAAUAACUUAAGCAUUAAUUUUUGUAUAUCGACUUUUAUGUUUGCUUUGGCCUCAAGAAUUGACUCCAAAGAGUCUCACAAAUACAUUAACACACCUCGUGUAUUUGUAGAGAUUCAUUCUAAUCAAGCUUCGAUUGCAAUCUGAUCUUCGUUGUGAAAUUGACAAUAACAAGUUGGAGAAUGUUCAUAUAUUAAUCAGCUGGAUCAGAUAGAUUAAGAUAAGAAAGUGUGGAAUCGAGUUAAUGGUUGCACAAAGAGAAAUUAUCAUUAUCAUAACAAAUUAUCGUUUCGCAUUAACACUAUUAUAAACAAUUUUAUUAAUUUUAAUCCCUUUUCUGAUAAUUAAUAAGUAGACGUCGAAUCGUCGAGUUGGUUAACCGUCUCGUUUAUAGAAUUUUAGUGAAAAUUCCAAGGGAUUAAUUAUUCCAGAGGAGCAGGGCCGUGCACGUCGCCCCUGGGCCCCUCCCCCUCACGUGGACAGCCGGUUAUAAAUGGUCGGUCGUAAAAGUUGUGCGUGUCGUUGCGAGACGGAGGGAACAAGAAGGAACAUUCGAUGAGAGACGAGGGUUCGAAACACUCCGUGCACCGCAUUAUGGUAGGCAAAAAAGCGCGGGAGAUGCACCAGCCGCUUGCAAAGAAGAAACUGUUUCGGUAGUCGGUGAACAAUCGAUUAUAUUCGAGCAUUCUUCGUGGAAAAUUAGAGAAAGAUUUUUCGAUACGAGUCAAUUUUCUCGAAAGUCGAAAUUGAAAACACGGCAUACGGAAUACAGGAUGGGACGAAUCCACGAACGUCGAUUUUCUCACAAAGAGAUUUCCAGACGAUCACGAUCCAGAUCUGUAUAAUGCGAUUCGCCCAGGUUCCGUUGUCUUCUGAUACAUUAUGUAACCUUCGAGAAGGGUUACAGAAUGCUUUCGUUUUCAUGAAUACCGCAUCUAUGAUCAGCAGGCCAAGUUUUUAAGCGGACGCCGUGUUAAUCCUUCGAUCUGAUCACCUGAUACGAAAACUCUUAGUCAUCGUGGGGAGAACGGAGAAAGAAAGUAAAAGAAAGAGAUACGCGAGGAAACAGCCGUGACAAUGAUGCAUCGAGCAGACGUUUCUUUCGAUCCUCCGAAAUAGAUUUAUUCGGAGGAUACGAUUUGAAAUUCAAAAACCACCAUGGAGAAUAAUUUCUCCACUCUGUGAAAAAAUUAUA